rnacentral:rRNA from 1 species
UACGGGGGGGGCAAGCGUUGUUCGGAAUUACUGGGCGUAAAGGGUGCGUAGGCGGUCCGCUAAGUUGGAUGUGAAAACUCUGGGCUUAACCCAGAGCCUGCAUUCAAAACUGACGGGCUAGAGUUCUGGAGGGGGUAGCGGAAUUCCUGGUGUAGCGGUGAAAUGCGUAGAUAUCAGGAGGAAUACCGAUGGCGAAGGCAGGUCUCUGGGCUGACACUGACGCUCAUGCACGAAAGCGUGGGGAGCAAACAGG